UACGUAGGGUGCAAGCGUUGCCCGGAUUUAUUGGGCGUAAAGGGCUCGUAGGCGGUCUGUCACGUCGGGAGUGAAAACUCAGGGCUUAACCCUGAGCCUGCUUCCGAUACGGGCAGACUAGAGGUAUGCAGGGGAGAACGGAAUUCCUGGUGUAGCGGUGAAAUGCGCAGAUAUCAGGAGGAACACCGGUGGCGAAGGCGGUUCUCUGGGCAUUACCUGACGCUGAGGAGCGAAAGUGUGGGGAGCGAACAGG
rnacentral:rRNA from 1 species